AGACUAGACCACAAGACCCCUUAAAGAACUUUCCAAUUAUGACUUUUUUUUUUUAUGAUUUAAAAAAUUGGAAAUUUCCAGGUAACUGAAAAACAAUGGAGAAAAAUAAAGAAAAAAAAAAUCUACACAAAUGCAAGGCCCUCAAUAUGACUUAAGACAGAGAAUAUCCAGAGUUUAAAUAACGGGGGUUACUACGAGAAACUGUGAUGGAGGAAGUUGUUAUCGCUAAUGGCUCUGAAGGUUGUUAACGUUAAUGGAUUAGAACUGGAGGCGUGUUAAACUCAGUGAUUUCAGGUAGCAGGGGAAUUAAAUAAAAGAUUUUCUAGGCUCUGGCUG
rnacentral:lncRNA from 10 species